AGAGUUUGAUCAUGGCUCAGGAUGAACGCUGGCGGUCUGCUUAACACAUGCAAGUCGAACGGAAGUAGCAAUACUUUAGUGGCGGACGGGUGAGUAACGCGUGAGAAUCUACCUUCAGGACGGAGACAACAGUUGGAAACGACUGCUAACCCCCGAUGUACCGCAAGGGCAAAUAUUUAUAGCCUGAAGAAGAGCUCGCGUCCGAUUAGCUAGUUGGGGGGGUAAAAGCCCACCAAGGCGACGAUCGGUAGCUGGUCUGAGAGGACGAUCAGCCACACUGGGACUGAGACACGGCCCAGACUCCUACGGGAGGCAGCAGUGGGGAAUUUUCCGCAAUGGGCGCAAGCCUGACGGAGCAAGACCGCGUGGGGGAGGAAGGCUCUUGGGUUGUAAACCCCUUUUCUCUGGGAAGAACAAAAUGACGGUACCAGAGAAUCA
rnacentral:rRNA from 1 species